AUAACGGAGAGUUUGAUCCUGGCUCAGAACGAACGCUGGCGGCGCGUUUUAAACAUGCAAGUCGCACGGUAAGAGAACUUCGGUUCUCCUAGAGUGGCGGACGGGUGAGUAACACGUGGAUAACCUACCCUUUGAUUGGGGAUAGCCUAUGGAAACAUGGGGUAAUACCGAAUACGACUGAACUCUCACAAGGGAGAUCAAGGAAAGGCGCUACGGCGCCGUCGAAGGAUGGGUCCGCGUUCCAUUAGCUAGUUGGUGAGGUAACUGCUCACCAAGGCAGUGAUGGAUAGCCGGCCUGAGAGGGCGAUCGGCCACAUUGGGACUGAGACACGGCCCAGACUCCUACGGGAGGCAGCAGUUAAGAAUCUUCCGCAAUGGACGAAAGUCUGACGGAGCGACGCCGCGUGAACGAUGAAGGCCGUGAGGUUGUAAAGUUCUUUUCCGAGGGAGGAAUAAAGAUGGUAGGGAAUGACCGUCUGAUGACGUUAACUCGGGAAUAAGCCCCGGCUAACUACGUGCCAGCAGCCGCGGUAACACGUAGGGGGCAAGCGUUGUUCGGAAUCA
rnacentral:rRNA from 1 species